GACGUAGGAGGCGAGCGUUGUCCGGAUUCAUUGGGCGUAAAGAGCACGCAGGCGGUUUGGCAAGUCGGAUGUGAAAACCCGAAGCUCAACUUCGGGCCUCCAUCCGAAACUGCCCGACUAGAGGUAGGUAGGGGAGAUCGGAAUUCCUGGUGUAGCGGUGAAAUGCGCAGAUAUCAGGAGGAACACCGGUGGCGAAGGCGGAUCUCUGGGCCUUACCUGACGCUCAGGUGCGAAAGCUAGGGGAGCGAACAGG
rnacentral:rRNA from 1 species